GACGAACGCUGGCGGCGUGCUUAACACAUGCAAGUCGAGCGGUAAGGCCCUUUCGGGGGUACACGAGCGGCGAACGGGUGAGUAACACGUGGGUGACCUGCCCUCAGCUCUGGGAUAAGCCUGGGAAACUGGGUCUAAUACUGGAUAUGACUCCACGGUGCAUGUCGUGGGGUGGAAAGCCUUGUGCGGCUGAGGAUGGGCCCGCGGCCUAUCAGCUUGUUGGGGGGUGAUGGCCUACCAAGGCGACGACGGGUAGCCGGCCUGAGAGGGCGACCGGCCACACUGGGACUGAGACACGGCCCAGACUCCUACGGGAGGCAGCAGGUGGGGAAUCUUGCGCAAUGGGCGAAAGCCUGACGCAGCGACGCC
rnacentral:rRNA from 1 species